AUUGAACGCUGGCGGCAUGCCUUACACAUGCAAGUCGAACGGCAGCGCGGACUUCGGUCUGGCGGCGAGUGGCGAACGGGUGAGUAAUGCAUCGGAACGUACCUUUCAGUGGGGGAUCACGUAGCGAAAGUUACGCUAAUACCGCAUAUUCUGUGAGCAGGAAAGCAGGGGAUCGCAAGACCGUGCGCGGAUUGAGCGGCCGAUGUCAGAUUAGCUAGUUGGUGAGGUAAAGGCUCACCAAGGCGACGAUCUGUAGCGGGUCUGAGAGGAUGAUCCGCCACACUGGGACUGAGACACGGCCCAGACUCCUACGGGAGGCAGCAGUGGGGAAUUUUGGACAAUGGGGGCAACCCUGAUCCAGCCAUGCCGCGUGAGUGAAGAAGGCCUUCGGGUUGUAAAGCUCUUUCGGCCGGGAAGAAAUCGCAUGGGUUAAUACCCUGUGUGGAUGACGGUACCGGAAUAAGAAGCACCGGCUAACUACGUGCCAGCCGCCGCCGUAA
rnacentral:rRNA from 1 species